GGUAGUCCACCCCGUAAACGUUGGGAACUAGUUGUGGGGACCAUUCCACGGUUUCCGUGACGCAGCUAACGCAUUAAGUUCCCCGCCUGGGGAGUACGGCCGCAAGGCUAAAACUCAAAGGAAUUGACGGGGACCCGCACAAGCGGCGGAGCAUGCGGAUUAAUUCGAUGCAACGCGAAGAACCUUACCAAGGCUUGACAUAUACGAGAACGGGCCAGAAAUGGUCAACUCUUUGGACACUCGUAAACAGGUGGUGCAUGGUUGUCGUCAGCUCGUGUCGUGAGAUGUUGGGUUAAGUCCCGCAACGAGCGCAACCCUCGUUCUAUGUUGCCAGCACGUAAUGGUGGGAACUCAUGGGAUACUGCCGGGGUCAACUCGGAGGAAGGUGGGGAUGACGUCAAAUCAUCAUGCCCCUUAUGUCUUGGGCUUCACGCAUGCUACAAUGGCCGGUACAAAGGGCUGCAAUACCGUGAGGGGGAGCGAAUCCCAAAAAGCCGGUCCCAGUUCGGAUUGAGGUCUGCAACUCGACCUCAUGAAGUCGGAGUCGCUAGUAAUCGCAGAUCAGCAACGCUGCGGUGAAUACGUUCCCGGGUCUUGUACACACCGCCCGUCAAGUCAUGAAAGUCGGUAACACCUGAAGCCGGUGGCCCAACCCUUGUGGAGGGAGCCGUCGAAGGUGGGAUCGGUAAUUAGGACUAAGUCGUAACAAGGUAGCCGUACCGGAAGGUGC
rnacentral:rRNA from 1 species